UUUAUCUCCCUCUCCUCCUUCUAUUCAAACCUAACCCAACUGAACCCUCCUCCUUCUAUUCGAACAUAACCCAGAAAUCUUGAACCAUCCCUCUUUAUCUCCCUCUUUCCUCUUCACAAAUCUUGAACCCAAAAUCCCGUCCCCUUUCUUUUCCCGUAGACCCCAGAUCUCCUUCUCUCCUCUUCACAAAUCUUGAACCCCAAAUCUUUCCUCUUCACAAUCUUGAACCCAAACCUGUCUUUCCUCUUAACAAAUCUUGAACCCAAACGACAGACCUUCACGCAAAUCUCGAAGCCGACGCGAAUCAAGUCCCAAAAUCAAGUGUAUAGAUGUCGCAGUUGAUCACUCGUCGUCGGAGUGUGACCAAUGCACCUCCUGCAUUAUCAGCAUCUACGGCUCCAGCCGUGAGUGCUCCAUUGAUUAGCGAGCCUACACCCUUUGCUGAGGCCACUCCUACGGCGUCCCAGGUGCCCGUAUCAUCGACAUCAUCAGUGUCAGUUGAGCAGCUCAGUGCACGGCGGCCUCAUCGGCGGCGCCGUGAGUCGGAACCUUCUGAUCACACUUCAUCGGAUGUCCCAGGUGCCCGGGCGAGGAGAUGAGGUCAUAUGCCGGGGCGUGGAGAGACCUUGUACAAGCCAUACAGAUGUCCGGCCUUCAAAUCUCACUACCAGCACUUCAUCUUGGUCCACCUUCGACCUCAGAGCCACCUCGCCCUGCUGAUACCUAGUAGCUUGAUGUAUUAAACCUAGUUCACUUUUAGUUUUUUCUUUUUUGUUCGGAUCUUGUAUGUACAUUUUCAUAUAUUUUAUAAUUAAAUACUUUUGCUUGGUUAA